rnacentral:rRNA from 1 species
UAACACAGCCAUAUCACUCUGAAGCCCAUGACUGCACUCCAACUAAAGCUAAGCAGGACUGAGCCUGGUCAGUACCUGCAUGGGAGACCACAUGGAAAAACUAGGUCUUAGUUGGAA